UAGCUCAACUGGGAGAGCACCUCCCUUACAAGGAGGGGGUCGGCGGUUCGAUCCC
rnacentral:tRNA from 1 species